rnacentral:lncRNA from 1 species
UCUCAGUGCUUUGGUAAGACCCUUGUCAUGUGAGUCUCAGGCUUUGAUAAGUUCCUACUUUUCUUUCUUACCAUCUUAGACCCAGUGCUUUGCUAAGACCCUUUUCAUGUGAGUCUACGCCUUUGACAAGUUAUCCUUUAUGUUGGUUUAAACACCAUUGCAAUUUCCUUUCCUUUUCAGGGAUACACAUUUAUGGUUAACCCCCUUCUUUCCUUUUGGUUUAAACACCAUCCCCAAUCAUAUAUUUUUCUCAAUUUUUGUCCUCUGAACUACGGAGCUCUUACUUCCUUAUUGCACUAUAAGGAUACGUAGGCACGAGGAUGUGAAUCCUUGGCGAACACCUUUCU